UCAAGCUAGCGACAAUGG
rnacentral:sRNA from 1 species